AGCGAUCCAUUAUUUACUUUGCAGAGAAGAGAAGAGACAACAGUCAGAAGAAGUAUCUUGAAACCAAUCAGCCAAAAUUUCAAGCUGAAAUCAGAGAAGCAAUUCUUUUUACACUACUUAACCUUGCUUUUGUUUUCGAUUUUCAACAUCUUUGGAGCACAAAUUGUCUUUGCCAUGCCAGGAAUUAUCUUAGUUUCAGUAUUGGAAUUUGUGGACCUUCCAGUUUCAUCACCUUCUUCAUCAAUAUCAAUAAAGGUUUCAAUGGGGAAAAGAGAAUACCAAACUUGGGACAAAGGAGACUUUUCCUUCCCAUUGACAACUCUCCGUGACAAUUUGACUGUUGUUCUUCAGGAUACUGAGGGCAAUGAGAUAUCACAAGCAGGUGUUGAAACCAAGUCAAUAGUUGGAAAAGGUGUUUGGGAUGAUUUUUUCCCUCUUGAAGGAGGUGGGCAUGUUCACAUGAAGCUGCAGUUUGUACUCAACGAAGCCGAGCGAAACAGAAUCCGCAUAGUGAGAGAAUCUGCAGUGAAAAAGAAACGUGGAGAACCUCUCGAUUGCAGAACUAGUAGUGUUGCAGUUCCUACUGAUGACAGUAGUCAAGUUGCUUCACCUGUUUGGCAUAUGAUCUCAUCAGAUAAAAAUAAAGAGACGUCAUUAGCCAUUCCUUCAACUCAGAGAGUUGAUGUGCAUCUAAGUAAAUUGGAUCAGAGGGAAUCAAAUGAGAAAGUUGAGGCUCAAUCACUUUCUUCUAAGGCUCCUACAAGAGCUGUUUCUUCAAACGAACCAUCUUCAAUGAAGAGUUCAGAACCAAACUCUUCUCGUGGGAGACGAGGAUCUUUGGAGAGGAUUCCAAGUGUCAAGAAAAUAAUAAGUGCCUUCGAAACUAAUGUAGAUCAGGAUAUGAGGCCUCAAAUCAAAUCACCACCAGAAAAACUACUAGAGAAUAAGAUUGGAUUGGACCUCAAGGAAAGCAAGACAGUGAUGAACAUGAAAACUGUUCAGGGUACUGAGAAGUUGGAGGAGUUGAGUACAAUGAAAGGAACGAACACCAGUCAGAAUGGUCUGCUAAAACUAGUACAUAAAGAAGUAGCCUUAAAGGAAGAGGUAUCUCAUGAAGACUUGAUAAGAACAUCAAAUUUUGCAACACCUUCAGCUGCUGAAAGGAUGCCUUAUCAGCAUGGGCCAAAAAGUCAACAUGAUGGUGACAAGCAAAAUUCUGGUGGUAGUUCAGUUGUUGAAGACAGUGAAGCUGAACUUUCUUUGGAACAUUCACAAAGUUCUACUCAUGAUAUGACAUCAGUAGCUGGCUAUGAAAAUAUGGGUGAUUCCUUUAAGGGCUCUGAUGUAUGGAUAUUCCCAGAUCAAGUAAGACGAUUCUGUGUAACAACUGGUGGUAAGAAGUUGAUGGAUUUCAGGGGAGGUUAUAGUAUUAGGCCAGAAGAUCACAAGGAGAAGAUGAACUUUUCCACACCAGAAAAGCCCAAAGAAGAUGGUGGCAUUGGAAGUGAGGUGGACAGAAGCAAGAAAACUCACAAAGGGAGAGAAUUAAAGGCUAAUAGUGAGGAGGUUAAAUCUACUACUGGACCAGUUGGGCAGGUCAUGAAAGUUGCAAUUAUGGUCGGAUUUGGGGUACUUGUUCUCUUUGCAAGACAGAAAUAACAGGUAUAUAUGUCAGACUUUCUGGGUUAUUUUCUCUGAGAAAAGUUCUGUGAAGUGAAAUAGAUAAAAAUCAGGCAAUGAUAUGACUUGAUCAUCAGCGAAGUUUUCAUAUUCACAUUUCAUAUGUAAAUUUUUUCUAAAUGUACUAUUAUGUAUAUAUUAUUGUCCAAGUGAUUAAUUUUUCUUGUAUUUCGAAUUUGGAAUGUUGUAAAUCUUUGGUUGUAAGUGUUAGUUUAAGAGAUAGUUAAAUGUUGAUUUGUUGCAAAUUUUGAUCAUGUUGAAAUUCUUUACCAUGUAUUUCAAUGCUUGAUGAAAAUAAACAAAUUUUUUUUUAAA